rnacentral:rRNA from 1 species
GACGAACGCUGGCGGCGUGCUUAACACAUGCAAGUCGAACGGAAAGGCCCUGCUUUUGUGGGGUGCUCGAGUGGCGAACGGGUGAGUAACACGUGAGUAACCUGCCCUUGACUUUGGGAUAACUUCAGGAAACUGGGGCUAAUACCGGAUAGGAGCUCCUGCUGCAUGGUGGGGGUUGGAAAGUUUCGGCGGUUGGGGAUGGACUCGCGGCUUAUCAGCUUGUUGGUGGGGUAGUGGCUUACCAAGGCUUUGACGGGUAGCCGGCCUGAGAGGGUGACCGGCCACAUUGGGACUGAGAUACGGCCCAGACUCCUACGGGAGGCAGCAGUGGGGAAUAUUGCACAAUGGGCGGAAGCCUGAUGCAGCAACGCCGCGUGCGGGAGGACGGCCUUAGGGUUGUAAACCGCUUUCGCCUGUGACGAAGCGUGAGUGACGGUAAGGGGUAAAGAAGCACCGGCUAACUACGGGC